rnacentral:lncRNA from 1 species
UGACGAAAUAUCUAUGGAAAGGGGCCUCUAAAGAAGUAGUGCAGAGAAUAAAAACUGCUGGGAAAGAUAUGCAAUCACUCAAAAAAAAUGGGUGUGUUCCUCUGGAAUGCAAAGUGACUCACAAAUGGAAUGCCUGAUUUACCCUCUGAAAGGGGUCCGCACCUGCCUAACCAUGACCACUAGUCUGGAGAAGCACUGGCUUCAGCAGCAGAAGGCAGAAUCAUUGAUAGCAAGAAUCUUUUGAGCUCCUCAGAGCCAUGCAGCUCCUCACCCUUACCCUCUGCCACUGCCAUCAGCAAUGGGGAUUUCUCAGCGUUUUUGGCUUGCUCUUCUUCCUGCCUGGAACGUUCACCUCCCUGAUUCUCACAUUGCUGGCCAAUUUCAUCCUUCAGGUCUCAGCUCAAAUACAGUAUCUUUAAGGAUGCCGGAGAUACAGGAGUGCUGGGAAGGCAAGACCAUGGUCCCUUUAAAUGAUACGGGAGUGCUGGGUAGAGGAAGGGUGUGGUCCCUGGCUAGGGCUCCACCCCCACCGACCUAGAUGAGGACCUGGCACUCCUGCCUGCACGCCCAAAUGUUGUAUUUCCCAAGACCAUCCUGGCCCACCACGGCCCCAUCCUGUGACUAUAAAAACCUGAGACUCUAGCAAGGCAAAGACCGAAACGACUGGACGUGUAGAGGAGCGGAUCAGCAGAAGAAGAUAGAGGCAGGGGGAUGUCAAAUGCAGCAUAUCAGCGUAGGAACACACAGGCCGUUGAAGCGAGAGAGGAGCACAUCAAUGAAAGAAGGCACAAGCAUCUGGAUGGCGAGAGGAUGUUGAGGGGAGCAUGGCAGCUGAAGAGCACACCGACAGGACACACGCCGGCACUGUCCCGGUGGGAGUGGGAUGAGGCGGAGUUUGGUGGGGGCAGUGGGAGGAGAGCCCUGGCCGUGGAGUGCCCCAACUCCAGGGGAAAACCAUCUCCCUUCUGGCUCCCCCAUCUGCUGAGAGCUACUUCCACUCAAUAAAAGCUUGCACUCAUUCUCCAAGCCCACAUGUGAUCCUAUUCUUUCGGUACACAAAGGCGAGAAACCCCGGGAUACAGAAAGCCCUCUGUCCUUGAGAUGAGGUAGAGGGUCUAAUUGAGCUGGUUAACACAAGCCUAUAGAUGGCACACUAAGAGAGCAUCCUGUAACACACGCCCACUGGGGCUUCAGCUGUAAACAUUCACCCCUAGACACUGUUGUAGGGUGGGAGCCCCACAGCCUGCCGUCUGUAUGCUCCUCUAGAGGUCUGAGCAGUGGGGCACUGGAGAGCCACACCCACAUCGCAUGCCCUGCCGGGGGACUACUGAACCUUUCCCGUUUCACUAGCAUAUACAAUAUAACCCUCUGGCCUAUCGCUUUAACACAUUUCCUCAGAGCGUUCAACAUCAUCUGUUAAAUACUUGUAUUAUAAUAUUUUAUCUCUUUAUUUCUUUUGCUUUAUAAAAUAAAUUGCUUAUCUUUUCGGUAAUCCCCUGUAUCCCUGAUGCUUCGAUCAAUGCCUAACAUAUAUUGAAUUAAUAUUAAUUGAUGAAAUAAAUGGAUAAACACACUCCUUCCUGAGUAUGAAUAUAUCUUAACUGUAUCACAUAACUUUUUUCACAUUCUUCCUUGCCUCAACGGUUUGCAUAUAUUUCACGUAGGUCACUUAUCACUAUCGGGAUUUAUGUAAUUUAAAAAUCUCCUCCAUUAAAUUGCAAAUUUCUUGGCAACUGGAUUUUCUUAUAUUCAUUUGUUAAAAUUUGCAUGCCUUUAAGACAUACAUAUACUAACUGCUCAAAUAAUAUUAUUUAAAUGAAUGGAUGUAAAUUAUACUAAGGGCAAGUUUAAGAAUUAUUAUUUCCUUUUUACCCAGAAGCUUAAAAACAUUUCAUUUUCUAAAAUUCUAUGAGAAGGCAUAUAUAUGAUUAUAGCACUGGCC